CACGGGGGGAGCAAGCGUUGUUCGGAAUCACUGGGCGUAAAGGCGCGUAGGCGGCCUGAUAAGUAGGGGUGAAAUCCUGCGGCUUAACCGCAGGGCUGCCUUCUAAACUGUCAGGCUAGAGCACAGUAGAGGCAGGUGGAAUUCCCGUGUAGCGGUGGAAUGCGUAGAGAUCGGAAGAACAUCAGUGGCGAAGGCGGCCUGCUGGGCUGUUGCUGACGCUGAGGCGCGACCAGCGUGGGGAG
rnacentral:rRNA from 1 species